AGCAGAGUGGCGCAGCGGAAGCGUGCUGGGCCCAUAACUUAGAGGAGUCCGAGGAUCGAAACCUCGCUCUGCUA
rnacentral:tRNA from 1 species